rnacentral:rRNA from 1 species
CCUACGGGAGGCAGCAGUGAGGAAUAUUGGUCAAUGGACGAGAGUCUGAACCAGCCAAGUAGCGUGAAGGAUGACUGCCCUAUGGGUUGUAAACUUCUUUUAUAAAGGAAUAAAACGAGGCACGUGUGCCUUUUUGCAUGUACUUUAUGAAUAAGGCUCGGCUAACUCCGUGCCAGCAGCCGCGGUAAUACGGAGGAUCCGAGCGUUAUCCGGAUUUAUUGGGUUUAAAGGGAGCGUAGAUGGGUUGUUAAGUCAGUUGUGAAAGUUUGCGGCUAAACCGUAAAAUUGCAAUUGAUACUGGCAGUCUCGAGUACAGUUGAGGUAGGCGGAAUUCGUGGUGUAGCGGUGAAAUGCUUAGAUAUCACGAAGAACCCCGAUUGCGAAGGCAGCUUACUAAACUGUGACUGACAUUGAUGCUCGAAAGUGUGGGUAUCAAACAGGAUUAGAUACCCCUGUAGUC